UAUAUGUGUGGUUUUCUUAUU
rnacentral:piRNA from 1 species